GACGAACGCUGGCGGCGUGCUUAACACAUGCAAGUCGAACGAAGAGCGAUGGAAGCUUGCUUCUAUCAAUCUUAGUGGCGAACGGGUGAGUAACGCGUAAUCAACCUGCCCUUCAGAGGGGGACAACAGUUGGAAACGACUGCUAAUACCGCAUACGAUCUAAUCUCGGCAUCGAGGAUAGAUGAAAGGUGGCCUCUACAUGUAAGCUAUCACUGAAGGAGGGGAUUGCGUCUGAUUAGCUAGUUGGAGGGGUAACGGCCCACCAAGGCGAUGAUCAGUAGCCGGUCUGGGAGGAUGGACGGCCACAUUGGGACUGGGACACGGCCCAGACUCCUACGGGAGGCAGCAGGGGGGAAUCUUCCGCAAUGGACGAAAGUCUGACGGAGCAACGCCGCGGGAGGGAUGACGGCCUUCGGGUUGUAAAGCUCUGUUAAUCGGGACGAAAGGCCUUCUUGCGAAUAGGGAGAAGGAUUGACGGUACCGGAAGAGAAAGCCACGGCUAACUACGUG
rnacentral:rRNA from 1 species